GGGGAAUCUUCCGCAAUGGACGAAAGUCUGACGGAGCAACGCCGCGUGAGUGAUGACGGCCUUCGGGUUGUAAAGCUCUGUUAAUCGGGACGAAAGGCCUUCUUGCGAAUAGUUAGAAGGAUUGACGGUACCGGAAUAGAAAGCCACGGCUAACUACGUGCCAGCAGCCGCGGUAAUACGUAGGCGGCAAGCGUUGUCCGGAAUUAUUGGGCGUAAAGCGCGCGCAGGCGGAUUGGUCAGUCUGUCUUAAAAGUUCGGGGCUUAACCCCGUGAUGGGAUGGAAACUGCCAAUCUAGAGUAUCGGAGAGGAAAGUGGAAUUCCUAGUGUAGCGGUGAAAUGCGUAGAUAUUAGGAAGAACACCAGUGGCGAAGGCGACUUUCUGGACGAAAACUGACGCUGAGGCGCGAAAGCCAGGGGAGCGAACGGGAUUAGAUACCCCGGUAGUCCUGGCCGUAAACGAUGGGUACUAGGUGUAGGAGGUAUCGACCCCUUCUGUGCCGGAGUUAACGCAAUGAGUACCCCGCCUGGGGAGUACGACCGCAAGGUUG
rnacentral:rRNA from 1 species